GGUGAGACUCCGACCCUAGAACU
rnacentral:siRNA from 1 species